rnacentral:rRNA from 1 species
GCUACAUCCGGGGCAGCGGCGUCGGUAAUACGGGGGGUCCGAUGGGUAAUCGGAAUUACUGGGCGUAAAGCGUGCGCAGGCGGUUUGUUAAGCGAGAUGUGAAAGCCCUGGGCUCAACCUAGGAAUAGCAUUUCGAACUGGCGAACUAGAGUCUUGUAGAGGGGGGUAGAAUUCCAGGUGUAGCGGUGAAAUGCGUAGAGAUCUGGAGGAAUACCGGUGGCGAAGGCGGCCCCCUGGACAAAGACUGACGCUCAUGCACGAAAGCGUGGGGAGCAAACAGGAUUAGAUACCCGAGUAGUC